GGUUGCCAUUCCCUCCUCCAGGGAUCAAGCUUGCAUCUCCUGCAUUGGCAGGCAGAUUCUUUACCAGUGAGCCACCUGGGAAGCCCUGUAACAAAAACACUUGAAUAAAAUAAUCAUGAAAAAAGUAGAGCUGACAUAUUGUCUUUAGCAGCCUAACCCUGUUUGACAAAGAGGCUGCCCCUUAGCGUGGCUGGAAGAGAUUCCUCGUUCUGAAAGCCCUGCACUCUGAGAUGGAUCGAUAAGGGAAGGAACCCUAUCACAACAGCCGUUACUAGGUUACUAAGCAGUUACUAAGGCCUCUCAGUUGGUUACAGCGAAGCCAGAAUGGUAGCCUAAGAGCCCUGCUUCCUGCUUAUGCCAUAAGGCAGGCUUAUCUAAGAGCCCUGCUUCCUGCUUAUGCCAUAAAGCUUAUGCCUAUUUUUUAAAUUUAUUAAAGGGAUUUCAACAAAAGAUGCAGCUCUCCAUCUUUAUUCUGGGGGCCUGGAGGUUCUGAAAGCACGUGUAUUGCCUUGUAUUAUUCUUUAUUAUGGGUUGGGAGUAGGGGACCUUACUCAGUAACCAAAAGUGGCAUAGGGUUUUAGUUUUGACACCUGUUAACAGUUUUCUUUCCAUGAGGAUUCAGCUGUUGGAGUCAGGAAAACACCGUACUCAGUACCUGGACUUCACAAGCAUCUUCAUUAGGCCCACUCUUUUGUUUCUAGAUUAUUUCUGGUUCACAACUGCGUGGCUGCCUGGUUUAUUUCGGAUUCAUGACCGAUCUAAAUUAUUUCUGUCAUUAAUUAAUGGCCAUCUGGCUUCUUUCCACCAGCAGUAAGCGCGAAGAGGUGUGCGUCUGCAGGAUUUCACUAAAUUCCCAUUGACUCAAGCCUCCCUCUGUUUCUCCCAAUAGGGUCAAGGGAGCAGCUCAUUUAUAAAAGGACAGGCCAGUUUCAACCUGAUGGGUUGAAAGAAUUAGCCAGUGCCAAAUGAUACUUUAUUGAUCUUUCCUUGGGAAGGUGAGGGGAAGUGGGGCAACAUAGAGUCCUCAAACUGCUUGUCUGGGUUCAUCUUCCCUGAAGGGGCAGCUUGCAUACAAUCCCCAAUAUAUUGGCUUUGGCAUAGUGGCGGGCUUUUAGGAUGCUGUCGGCUCUCCAUCUGUGUGUCUAUAGGAACAGGAUUCCAGGUCUUAAGUUGUUUCUCAGGUGGCACAGUGGUAAAGAAUUCACCUGCCAAUGCAGGAGACGCAA